UUUUUUUUUUUUUUUUUAAAGAUUUAUUUAUUUAUUUAUUAUAUGUAAGUACAUUGUAGCUGUCUUCAGACACUUCAGAAGAGGGGAUCAGAUCUUGUUACGGAUGGUUGUGAGCCACCAUGUGGUUGCUGGGAUUUGAACUCUGGACCUUCGGAAGAGCAGUCGGGUGCUCUAACCCACUGAGCCAUCUCACCAGCCCCAAUAGUUUCUUUUUAAAAACAGAAGUCAGACAACGGCUCUAAAACUUCCUCGUGGUGUCGCUCGCCUUUAAUCCCAGCACUUGGGAGGCAAAGGCAGGCGGAUUUCUGAGUUUCAGGACAGCCAAGGCUACACUGAGAAACCCUGUCUCGGAAAAAAAAAAAACAAAAAAAACCAAAAAACCAAAACAAAAAAACUUUCUCAUAUUGGGAAUGGCAGCACACACCCAAAAUACUUAGGAAUACUGACUCAGAAAUAUUGCCACGUUUGAGAUCUGCUCAAGUUUCACAAUGAAACUUGGUCUCAAAAACAGGACAAAAACUCCCAGAUUAGUAAGAAGAAAUGUGUCAUUAUGACACCCCCAAAUAAGCUGUUUCAGGUGGCAGGCUGUGGGGAAGGCAUAGAGUACACAUUAGCGCAGUGCUUAUGGUGCACAAUUUGGCAAUGCAAAUGUAUUUACCCUCUGACCUGAGGCCGAGUGCUAGGGAUGCAUUUGCAGAUCGGCCUGCACCCAUCAUACGUCAGUAAUGAUGCGCGACGCACAGACAUUACCGCACUAAACCUUAUUGCAUUUGUUUGUUUAUUUAGCAAGAGGAGAGGGGCGCCAUCAUGCAAGUGUGGAGGUCAGGGGGCAACUUGCAGGAUUGUGUUCUCUCCUUCCAGGGGUUAAAUCCAGGUCAGGCUUGUGCAACAAGCCUUUUACCUGCUGAGCUACCCAGAACAUGCUAUGUUUUUGUUAGUUAAUGUGAAAUGUACACCCUCAAAAAAAAGUGGAGUUUAAGAUAAAAUAUUUUAUAUAACUUCCACUUUUUAAAAUAAAUAUUUGAAAUCCAGGUUUUUAAAAAAAUUUUGUGUUUGUUUGUUUGUUUGUUUGUUUUGCACUUUAUAUCCAGCCUGUCUGGAUUACCACAAAAUGGAGGAGCCAAUCUUGGGCCUGUGCCUGACUCUCCCUUUCUCCCUUCAGACUCUGACCACCUUUAUCUUGCUGGGUUUGGGCAGGGUUCCUGGAGUUCCCAGGGCCCCCGAAGUGCAUGUGGUGUCUGUAAGGACAACUUCGCACAUGCCUUACCUGCAUUGUACACCUUGUAGUUCAUUUCCAGAGUCUUGUCACCGUUUGGUCCCUAACCCCACCCCCACAGUCGCCCUGAAAGCUUGCCAUGGUGGCUCAUGGGAAGCUGAGGCAGGAGGACUGCCAUAAGGUCUAGGACAGCCUGAGCUACAUAGUGAGAUCCAGAGCAAAACCCACUCUCAAAAAUUAACAAUAAAAAGUCUCCAUAAACAAACGGAGAGAUCAGGAGAGGGAGCAGAGGACACAAAGGACUCAGGUGCUGAGUCCACUGUGAAUAAGCAUGGCCAAAAAGAAUGCCUUUGCCCUCAUCUUCUGGGACUCUCUCCCUCACUGCACUGGUGUCUUUAGUGGCUCUGAUGCACUUCCUGGUCCUUUCCAGAUAUGUUUCCUUGCUAUAUACCUCAUGCUGGCCUCUAACUUGGCGCCCUCCUGUCCACGCCUCCCAAAUGCUGAGAUUACAGGCCUGUGUCUCUACACUUGGUCUCUGAUGCCUCUUGGUUCCAACUCUGCUGGCCAGUGUAAGCUAGCCAUUACGCAGGAGGAUGUCACUGCAGGUAGGGUCACUGGUACUAAACAAGAUAAAUCAGCUUUAAACCCAUGCCAAGUGUGACUUCAUAAGCUUUGAUGUGAACAGGGCACUUCAUGUUCACAAAAUGGCAAAGCAUUCCCACCUGCUACAAAGACCCUGACUCUGAGAGAAGCACAUGAGACCAUGGCUCCAGAAAUAGCUGGAUAACUAACUGCUGAGAGAUAACCCUCAGUCCCAAGCUCUGGGCGCCAAAGGCUUCCUGAUGAAGGGGUACUGGCAAUCACUCAGGUGCUGGUGGCAAUAUAUUUAAAAAUGAGAUUCCGCCUAAAGCUUCAGGGCUGUGUUUCCACUCCCUUCUGUAGCUCUGAGGUUCAAAUUAUAC
rnacentral:lncRNA from 1 species